rnacentral:rRNA from 1 species
AGGGAAUCUUCGGCAAUGGACGGAAGUCUGACCGAGCAACGCCGCGUGAGUGAAGAAGGUUUUCGGAUCGUAAAGCUCUGUUGUAAGAGAAGAAUGAGUGUGAGAGUGGAAAGUUCACACUGUGACGGUAUCUUACCAGAAAGGGACGGCUAACUACGUGCCAGCAGCCGCGGUAAUACGUAGGUCCCGAGCGUUGUCCGGAUUUAUUGGGCGUAAAGCGAGCGCAGGCGGUUAGAUAAGUCUGAAGUUAAAGGCUGUGGCUUAACCAUAGUACGCUUUGGAAACUGUUUAACUUGAGUGCAAGAGGGGAGAGUGGAAUUCCAUGUGUAGCGGUGAAAUGCGUAGAUAUAUGGAGGAACACCGGUGGCGAAAGCGGCUCUCUGGCUUGUAACUGACGCUGAGGCUCGAAAGCGUGGGGAGCAAACAGGAUUAGAUACCCUGGUAGUCCACGCCGUAAACGAUGAGUGCUAGGUGUUAGACCCUUUCCGGGGUUUAGUGCCGUAGCUAACGCAUUAAGCACUCCGCCUGGGGAGUACGACCGCAAGGUUG